AAACCAAGGGCUCUUUAAACCAAGGGCUGAAGCGCACAAUGGUUGGACCCUUUCCUGGUAUAUAGAUCUCCCCCCAGAACACUAUUACUAACCCUCUAAACCAUAUGCAGUGAACUGUGUCAAUGUAUGUAACAUCUUGGCUUGAAGCACUGUUAUAUAACUGGGCUGGGGCAAAAAUAACAGACUGUAAUCAGGCCCAGGUGGCAUCGCUCCACAACGUUUUACUGCUGAAGAGGCGUCUUUUGCUUAUUGCAUUUCACCCUUUAACAACCUCCUCUGUUUUGCGCAUGGGACUACAUGGAGCAAGUGGGUGUGGCUCCCCAGGGUUCUCGUCUUCUGCAGCAAAUCAGGCAGUAGCCCCCCCCCCCGCCAUCCUGCCGAGGGCGGCAGCUUUCGCCCCGAUGUUUUUUCGCCCCAAAACAUCUGAGAAACUUUGCGAAACAUCGAAGAAGUACUGGAGAAACAUCAAAGCACUGGAGAAGCAUCGGCGAAUGCUAUGGAGCAGUUGUGUAAAAGUGUGUACAGCUGUGGCGAACACGCCGUUAAAGGAGUGUCUCCACCCUUGGCACUCCAGUAACGGUGAUGAAAGUGAUACUUUUUGAGGUUCUUUUGAAUGCCAGAACUACUGGCACUACAGCAGAAAAAAAAUUCUUUUUAAUGCACGCUCCAAGAAAAGAGUGAAAGAGGACAUCCCGUGAUGCGUCCUGAACUUGGCCUGUCUCCGCGUGUCCCUCAAGGCUGCGGAAAGGGAUGAAUUUUAUGUAAAGUGGGCAAAGCUUCUUAUGUCCCUUCCCAGAACCUGGACACUAUCCAUCCGCCUGCUCGCUGGGUCGGGUUCAUUCCAAGAUUUACUCCCUCGCACUCUAAUCCUACCCGCAAGCUGUCAAACAGUGGAUGAAGGGAGACUGAUCUCAGGUCAGACGCGCAAGGGCAAAUGAGUGCGCACUCAGACAAAGGUAAUCCUGCCAGGAGAACGCGGAGGAGCUUCUCAGCCACGUCACCCGGAGAUCACGAGCACCUUCAGCUUCAGCUGGUAUGCAGGAAUAGGACGAGAGGGAAUAGGGAACAGAGAGUGGAUAUGGAAUGACAAACACUAAAACAUGAUACUAAAACUGCGACGGCCAUGGUUGUCUAGCUGGCUGUGUAUUCAAAUAGCCUGUUGUUAAUGUUAAUAAACAGCUUUGUAAACAAUGA